rnacentral:rRNA from 1 species
CGCACGCAGGCGGUCUGUUAAGCUAGAUGUGAAADCCCCGCGCUCAACGUGGGAGGGKCAUUUAGAACUGGCAGACUAGAGUCUUGGAGAGGGGAGUGGAAUUCCAGGUGUAGCGGUGAAAUGCGUAGAGAUYUGGAGGAACAUCAAUGGCGAAGGCAACUCCCUGGCCAAAGACUGACGCUCAUGUGCGAAAGUGUGGGUAGCGAACAGGAUUAGAUACCCUGGUAGUCCACMCCGUAAACGCUGUCUACUAGCUGUUUGUGGAUUUAAUCCGUGAGUAGCGAAGCUAACGCGAUAAGUAGACCGCCUGGGGAGUACGGCCGCAAGGUUAAAACUCAAAGGAUUGACGGA